rfam:Puccinia sorghi strain RO10H11247 Scaffold_396, whole genome shotgun sequence.
GCCUUCGUGGCUCAGCUGGUUAGAGCGCCGGUCUCAUAUUGUACUUAGAAUAUCAACGUGAUCGUGUGCCCACACGAGUCAUCCGGAGAUCGCCAGUUCGAUCCUGGCCGAGGGCA